GUCCCGGAAAGCGAGGAGGCGGCCGCCGCGAAGGCGCGGAAAGGAGGGCCAGUUUAGUGAAAACCAGAGGCUGGGUAGAAGAGCUUGGGCUCGGGCUCUUCGGUGCAGAGAAAGCAGGAAACACCGCAGUUACCUGUUCAUGUGGGUGCGGUGGUUGAAGCAUCUGCAAAGGGGGGAAUGGCACCUCUUCUUCGUUCGUGGAGGAGGAUUUUGAGAGAGAGGGAGAGAACCCUGCCCGUCCGCUCCUGAGAAGCGUGAACUUCCCGCCUGAGGACUAGAAAGACGAAGUAGUUUGAAAAUGGAGAACCAAGAACCAGCGGAUCCUCCUCAAAAUACCAAACAGUCUAUUAUUUCAGAGGAGUUAAUUUCAGAAGGAAAAUGGGUCAAGCUUGAAAAAACAACAUACAUGGAUCCUACUGGUAAAAUAAGAACUUGGGAAACUGUGAAACGUACAACCAGGAAAGGACAGUCGGCUGAUGGUGUGGCGGUCAUCCCAGUGCUGCAGCGCACACUUCACUACGAGUGCAUUGUUCUGGUGAAGCAGUUCCGACCGCCGAUGGGAGGCUAUUGCCUAGAGUUCCCCGCAGGUCUCAUCGAUGAUAACGAGAGCCCAGAGGCAGCCGCUCUUCGGGAGCUUGAGGAAGAAACGGGCUAUAAAGGUGAUGUUGCAGAAUGUUCUCCAGCCGUGUGUAUGGAUCCAGGUUUGACAAACUGUACCACACACAUCGUGACAGUAACUAUUAAUGGAGAUGAUGCUGAAAACGUGAGACCUAAGCCAAAGCCAGGAGAUGGAGGUAUGUUACCCAGCUGGCAGUGGCUGACCGUGUGUAUGGCUUAGCGCAGUGGAAAUGGCUGCAGGCAUUUUGUGGUGUUCUGGUAGGCCCUCUUAUUCUUCAGCUUUGUUUUCACAUGCACUUUGUUUGUUUAGAAUUUGUCGAAGUUAUUUCCUUACCAAAGAAUGACCUGCUCAAGAGACUGGAUGCUCUGGUAGCGGAAGAACAUCUGACCGUGGACGCCAGGGUGUACUCCUACGCUCUGGCACUGAAACAUGCAAACACAAAACCGUUUGAAGUGCCUUUCCUGAAGUUUUAAGGCCAAAGGACAGUAGCCAUGUUUUUAUAAAUAAGACCAUCAGGCCUCCUUCACUAAGACUUUGUAUUCAGCUUAGCUUCCUGUAGACUUGAAAUUAGCUUUUUUCAUUAAAUAAAAGCAAUACGGAAUACA